rnacentral:rRNA from 1 species
UAAGGAAUAUUGCUCAAUGGGAGAAAUCCUGAAGCAGCAACGCCGCGUGGAGGAUGAAGGGUCUAUGACUUGUAAACUCCUGUAAAGAAGGAAAAAAUUCCCAUUAGAUGGAGAUGAUGGUACUUCUGGAGUAAGCCCCGGCUAACUACGUGCCAGCAGCCGCGGUAAUACGUCGGGGGCAAGCGUUGUCCGGAUUUACUGGGUGUAAAGGGUGCUCAGGCGGAUUUGUAAGUCAGAGGUGAAAUCUUACAGCCUAACUGUGAAACUGCCUUUGAUACUGCAAGACUAGAGUAUGGAAGAGAGUGAUGGAAUAUCUGGUGUAGCAGUGAAAUGCGUAGAUAUCAGAUAGAACACCAAUGGCGAAGGCAGUCACUUGGUCCAUUACUGACGCUAAAGCACGAAAGCGUGGGUAGCAAACA